GGUGUAUAGCUCAGUGAUAAAGCAUUCAGCUGCAGAUUGAAGGGUCUCCAGUUCAAACCCGGGUGUCACCU